UACGGGGGGGGGCAAGCGUUGUUCGGAAUUACUGGGCGUAAAGGGCUCGUAGGCGGCCAACUAAGUCAGACGUGAAAUCCCUCGGCUUAACCGGGGAACUGCGUCUGAUACUGGAUGGCUAGAGUGUGGGAGAGGGAUGCGGAAUUCCAGGUGUAGCGGUGAAAUGCGUAGAUAUCUGGAGGAACACCGGUGGCGAAGGCGGCAUCCUGGACCACGACUGACGCUGAGGAGCGAAAGCCAGGGGAGCAAAGCGGG
rnacentral:rRNA from 1 species